rnacentral:tRNA from 1 species
AACUAUAAUAGUUUAAAAUAAAAUAUUAAUUUGUGGGAUUAAAGAUUAAUUUUUAUUGUAGU